rnacentral:piRNA from 1 species
UGUAAAGAAGGGCAACUUCUGAGAGAACGGC